AAAAGAAAUUGAAUAAAUGUGCUGCAUAUUUCAUCGCAUUUUUUAAGAAAAUGUGCCGCAUAAUUAAGGAUUUUUGGCCGCAACAAUCACAAAAAAAAACAACAUUUUUCUCUAGGAAAUGACAAGUGUGCGCAGCUGAAUCAGCUUCACGUUCCGCCUUGUUAACCAUAAAUGGUCAAUGCAAACGACCUCAUGAAUGCGAUCUGCAUAUAAAACAGACUCAGAUGCAAUGUCUUGUCGGAAACAAUGGCAGAAGGACUGAGAAAAGCAAAAAAGCGAAAUUUCACGGAGGUCGAAGACACUUGUGGGUGAGGUGGAGGCCCGAAAAGUAGUUUUGUCGGCGGUCACGGGAUUGGGAUCACUAACAACAAAAAGCAGAGUGGCAACAUGUUGCUGCAGCAGUGAACUCUGUCAGUGGCACGGAGCGCACAGUCCCAGAAUUAAAAAAGAAGUGGUCUGACAUAAAGGUACAUAUUUUUAUGUACCAAUAAAUUGUUAUGGUCCCUGAAGACCAUCUCCCUCCGAAUCCUGCCAUUUGCAUGGUCCUCCAAAAGUGCCAGCAGUGCCAUGGUGCAGCAUUACGCACGGGGCUCACCGCUACUGACGAGAACACCUUGGAUAAACAGUUUGUAAUCACCCACGUAAAAUGUUCUUGAACAUAACCCCUUUUUAAUGCCUGAUUUGUCAUGAAAAGCAUCAAGAGGAACGGACAAUAAUAUAACGAUUGUGAUGAGGAGUAUGUGGCUUGGUUUUCCACACUUGGGAUUUAAUUGACAUUUGAUUAUGUGUUUACAGUGUCGAAUAAAAAUAUUAUGUUAUUGACACAUGUUGGACAGAUGCUUUAUUCCAUGCAGUCUCACCGUCAGUGGACAGUAUGGAGUGACGGGAUUAAAUAUAGAGAAUUUAGAUUUUGAAUUUUCAUUUCUAUUCUAAGGAGAUGUUUCUGGAGUUAUAACUGAGAAAUAACGCAGUUGACUCCAAUUAUUCUGAUUACAUCGAUUUAACGCAUGAUACGGGUUGAAAUUAAAUUUAUGAAGGGCGAUAAUAAAACAUAAUCGUUCUUCUCACUCUACAUUUCUUCUGUCUGACUUCAGUUCACCACCACUCCGCCUGUGUCGCCAAUUUUCCUUUUCCUCCAAACCAUGGGUACGCAUGGGUCAGAGGUUGCUUAGGGCUGCGCACAUUCUCCCGUCAAGUUAGUUUUUUUAUAGGUCACAAACCCGUGGCGUGGAAAAUCACGUACGCCACUUUCAGCCCCGUUUUGUGCGUACGCAACGGUUAUAAAUGAGUCCCCAGAUCAUUGUGCAAAUGUGCCUUGAACUUCAGGGCUCCCGACUAACUUUUUUCACUUUUUGCACAGCAAUCUAUGGCACCAGGCCAAACACCAGAUGGUGUAAUUCCCCCGGCGUUCCAUCUAAUGUGUCAAAUUUUCCUUCGAGUGCAGGCCGGGCGUCGAUAUCAAUUUAUAGUGGGUCGGGUCGGGUGCGGA
ensembl:lncRNA